UCCUGGCUCAGAACGAACGCUGGCGGCGCGCUUACACAUGCAAGUCGAGCGAGAAAGCCCCUUCGGGGGUGAGUACAGCGGCGCACGGGUGAGUAACACGUGGACAAUCUACCUCGAAGCGGGGGAUAACUUCGCGAAAGUGGGGCUAAUACCGCAUAAUCUUCUUUUGCCGAGGUGAAAGGAGGAAAGGUUACCGCUUUGAGAUGAGUCUGCGGCCCAUCAGCUAGUUGGUAGGGUAACGGCCUACCAAGGCGACGACGGGUAGCUGGCCUGAGAGGGUAACCAGCCACACUGGAACUGGAACACGGUCCAGACUCCUACGGGAGGCAGCAGUGGGGAAUCUUGCGCAAUGGGGGAAACCCUGACGCAGCGACGCCGCGUGGGUGAAGAAGGCCUUCGGGUUGUAAAGCCCUGUCGCAGAGGAAGAAAAGGCAACUUGACGGUACUCUGUGAGAAAGCACAGGCUAACUCCGUGCCAGCAGCCGCGGUAACACGGAGUGUGCGAGCGUUGUUCGGAAUCACUGGGCGUAAAGCGAUUGUAGGCGAAUUAGUAAGUGUUGGGUUAAAGUCCAAGGCUCAACCUUGGAAAAGCUCAGCAUACUGCUAGUAUAGAGUUUGUUCGGGGAGACUGGAAUUCUCGGUGGAGGGGUGAAAUCCGUUGAUAUCGAGAGGAACGCCAAGGGCGAAGGCAUGUCUCUAGAGCAACACUGACGCUGAGGGACGAAAGUUAGGGUAGCAAAGCGGAUUAGAGACCCGUGUAGUCCUAACCGUAAACGAUGAAUACUAGUUGU
rnacentral:rRNA from 1 species